CAAUAGUGUAUAUUAAAGUUGUUGCGGUUAAAAAGCUCGUAGUUGGAUCUCGGCAGGCAGGGGGUGGUUCGCUCUUAGCGCUACUGCCCCAUUUGCCUGUGUGAUUGGCGGAGGUUUCGGGGUGCUCUUCGUUGAGUGACCCGGGGCGCCGUCAGGUUUACUUUGAAAAAAUUAGAGUGCUCAAAGCAGGCUUUUCACGCUUGAAUAUUCGUGCAUGGAAUAAUGGAAUAGGAACUCGUUUCUAUUUUGUUGGUUUUCGGAAAUCGAGUUAAUGAUUAAUAGGGACAAUUGGGGGCAUUAGUAUUCAGACGACAGAGGUGAAAUUCUUGGACCGUCUGAAGACUAACUACUGCGAAAGCAUUUGCCAAGAGUGUUUUCAUUAA
rnacentral:rRNA from 1 species